UCGCCGAGAUAGCAUUUAGCUCGGUCUGC
rnacentral:sRNA from 1 species